rnacentral:rRNA from 1 species
AUGAAGGUUAAAAUCGAGAGCUCCAAGAUCGUCAAGCCGUUGUACGAGGACGGCGAGGCGCCGCCGGCGCGGUGGGUGCCGCUCUCCGUGUUCGAUAAGGUGACGUACGGGGAGCACGUCGCCCUCAUCUUCGCGUUCCGGCCGCCCAACCCGCCCAACAGCGAGGUCGAGCUGGGCCUGGCCAAGGCGCUCGCCGUGUACCGGGAGUGGGCCGGGCGGAUCGGCGAUGGUCCCGACGGGCGCCGGUCGGUGCUGCUGAACGACGCUGGGGCGCGCUUCGUGGAGGCCACGGUGGACGCGCCGAUGGCGGUGUCGCUGCCGUCCGGGCCGUCGCCGGAGGUGAGGCGGCUGCACCCGAGGAUCGACGACGGCCCCGUGGAGCUGGUGCAGGUGCAGCUGACCCGCUUCUCCUGCGGGUCGCUGGCCGUGGGCUUCGCGGGGCACCACCAGAUCGCCGACGGGCAGGCCACGGCCAACUUCCUGGCGGCGUGGGGCCUCGCUACGCGGCGGCUGCCGCUGUCGCCGCUUCCGGUGUGCGAUCGCGGCACCCGGUUCGCGCCCCGCGAUCCGCCGCUAGUGGAGUACCCGCACCAGGAGGUGGAGUACAGGGCUCCGGCGCCCAACAAGAAGUGCGACGUCGCUGUGGACGAGGAGGAGGAGGAGAUCGGCUUCGGGACGGCGGGGCACGACAAGGUCAAGGUGCACAGGAUGCACCUGAGCAAGGAUUUCGUGGCACGGCUCAAGGCGCAGGCCUCGUCGGGGCUCCCGCCGUUGCGGCGCAGCUACACGACGUUUCAGAGCGUGGUGGCGCACCUCUGGCGCGCGAUCACCGCGGCGCGCGGCCUGGGCGCGGGCGUGACGACCAAGGUCCGCAUCUCCGUGAACGGCCGGACGCGCAUGCGCCCGCCGGUGCCCCGCGACUACUUCGGCAACGUGGUCCUGUGGGCGUUCCCGCGCUCGGACGCUGGCGACCUCGUGUCCCGGCCGGUGGGCCACGCGGCGGAGCUCGUCUACCGCGCCGUGGCGGACGUGGACGACACCUACUUCCGGUCCUUCGUGGACUUCGCCGCCGAGGGGGAGGCCGAGGGGCUGGUCCCGACGGCGGACAGCGAGCAGGCGGUGCUGUGCCCGGACCUGGAGGUGGACGCGUGGCUGGGGAUCAACUUCCACGGACUGGACUUCGGCGGCGGUGGCCCCUUCCGCGUCAUGCCGACGUACUACCCCAUGGAAGGCAGCCUGUUCCUGGUGCCGUCUGCCCUAGGCGACGGCAGCAUGGAGGCCUACGUGGCCCUCUUUCACAACCACCUCGAGGAGUUCAAGAGGAUAUGCCACAAGAUCACCUAG